UACGGAGGGGACGAGCGUUGUCCGAAGUUACUGGGCGUAAAGCGCGCGUAGGCGGGUUGGCAAGUCUGCUGUGAAAGCCCGGGGCUUAACCCCGGAGGGUCGGUGGAUACUGCCAGUCUUGAAUGUGCUAGGGGGAGAUGGAAUUAUCGGUGUAGCGGUGAAAUGCGUAGAUAUCGGUAGGAACACCAGUGGCGAAGGCGGUCUCCUGGGGCACUCUUGACGCUGAGGCGCGAAAGCUGGGGGAGCGAACGGG
rnacentral:rRNA from 1 species